UUAUGGAAAUUAAGCUCUGCUUACCAAAGAUGGUGGAGGUGGCUGCCUACAAAACCUCUGCGUCAAACAUGUAAUGGUUUGGCGUACCUGAAGAAUCAUCUUGACACAAUCACACAGGACGAGACUGAGCAUCUAAGGGAGCAUUCAUCUGAUGAAGAGGAUUUCUUCUCAUCACUGACAACCAAACGGUCAGAAGGUACAGGGGAGCUUGAUGUGUACCUUGCUAGUCCAUCGGACAAAAUGGAUUUACUUCAUUUGUUUCCGUACAUAAAGAACUCAACACAGGCCUCCAUGCAUCUGCCGCUUGUGAGUGUCUUUUUAGCUGUGCUGGACUACCCACCACUGUUUAGCGUGCCAGAAUAAACUCAAUUAACUUAGAAAAUCAGCUCCUACUGAAACUGAAUGGCAAAUUCAGAGAGAAGUGAGUUAUGUGUUCGAUAGGUAGUACCACAAAAAAUAUCUGUCAAUGUGACGUUGAGAUUUAAUAUUAAAAUCAGCUGUUCUGGAUCUUAUCUUGGUUAUUUUAUAUUUUAUAUUUUAUAUUUAUUUUUAUUUUUUUUAUUAUAUUUUAUAUUUUUUAUUUUUUAUUAUUUUAUAUUUAUUUUAUAUUUUAUAGCCCACCUAUAAUUUAGCCCUAUCAACUACCUCUUUCCCAACUGUAUUUAAUUAAUUUAUUUAUUUUGCUCCUUUGCACCCCAUUAUUUUUAUUUCUACUUUGCACAUUCUUCCAUUGCAAAACUACCAUUCCAGUGUUUUACUUGCUAUAUUGUAUUUACCUUGCCACCAAGGCCUUUUUUGCCUUUACCUCCCUUCUCACCUCAUUUGCUCACAUUGUAUAUAGACUUGUUUAUACUUUAUUAUUGACUGUAUGUUUGUUUUACUCCAUGUGUAACUCUGUGUUGUUGUAUCUGUCGAACUGCUUUGCUUUAUCUUGGCCAGGUCGCAAUUGUAAAUGAGAACUUGUUCUCAACUUGCCUACCUGGUUAAAUAAAGGUAAAAUAAAUAAAAAAUAAAUAUUUUCUGGUGUUUUAUGGAACAUUUAGCCUGUCAAGCAUUACAUGUAAACUAUAUUACAUAUACAGUAGUAUAUAGAAAAGUAAUCAUUUUUGAUAUUCAUUUGUUUUUGAAGCUUGCAUUCAAUUGCCACACCCUUUUCACAUGAACU
ensembl:lncRNA